rnacentral:rRNA from 1 species
CAGGCCUAACACAUGCAAGUCGAGCGGAUGAAGGGAGCUUGCUCCCGGAUAUCAGCGGCGGACGGGUGAGUAAUGCCUAGGAAUCUGCCUGGUAGUAGGGGGACAACGUUUCGAAAGGAACUGCUAAUACCGCAUACGUACCUACGGGAGAAAGCAGGGGACCUUCGGGCCUUGCGCUAUCAGAUGAGCCUAGGUCGGAUUAGCUAGUUGGUGAGGUAAUAGGCUCACCAAGGCGACGAUCCGUAACUGGUCUGAGAGGAUGAUCAGUCACACUGGAACUGAGACACGGUCCAGACUCCUACGGGAGGCAGCAGCGGGGAAUAUU